rnacentral:misc_RNA from 1 species
UUUCUAUUCAAGAUACAUGUGUCAUGUAGCAUUUUCAAAAUAUAAUGUAAUUUACGAUUCAAACAAGUAAUAUCAAAAACAAAAUAAAUCAAUAAAUUUAAUUAAAGAUUUGGAUAAAAAUGAAGAAGUUUAUCAAGUAUCCGCAUUGUCCAGCGGCAACAACGAUACCUUAGAAUCGGCACGUGAUCGUGCGUGCGCAAUCGUGCAAUUUAGUACGCAAGUGUAUGCGAUUUUAUCAGAUAUUCUGGAAACCAUGCGAAUUGAAGAGCUUCGACAAAGUAAAUAUAUACAUUCAUACACAUUUCAAGAAGAUAAUAAGUUUGAUAGAACAAUAAAAAAAAAUUACUUAUCAUUAAUAGAAGAUAACGAAUAGAAUUUAUCAAAAUAUAUUUUUAAAAAUCAAUUAAAGAUAUGCAAAUACAAUGAAAAAGAAGUCAUAUAAAGAAAAACAAAAAUAGCAAUUAUUG